UCUGAAAAAAUAGGAAAUCAAAUCUUAGGGGUUGUUUUUUUUUUUUUUACUGUGGAGUUGCAGUGCAGAGUGCGGCCUGAUUUGUUGUUAUUCUUUUUUGGUUGGGUAGACUUUUAUUCAAUGUUUUUUUUCUAAUAUAUAGUAUUUAAGGGUUCAAUUUGGGAAUAAAGAUGAAUAAUUUCUGCCUACCUGAGUCAAAACACAAGUGAUUAAACCAUUCUUCAGUUUUUUGCCAUAACAACAAUAAAGAAAAACACUGUGCACUGGACUUCAGGAGUGUAUUUUCACCCCCUCUGCCUAAUGUUGUCAUGACUUGCUUUUGUGUCACCCUGUUUUCUCUCUGCCCUCAUCAGCACAUUCCUGUUUUACCUGUAUGAGCUGUCAGAAAGAAGGUCUUUCACAACGAAGAUUACAAUGGCUCCAACCACAAAACCAGGCUCCUUUCAAAUUAUGAUGUGGAACACUUUUAGAGAUCACUGAGCCCAAUCUCUGAAGACAGACAUGGAGAUGAGACUGGCAGGAAUUCCUGGAUAGGCUCACACCUAAAGCCAACACAUCCUUUUCUAGUCAGGGAGAAGGCCCUGCAGACAGCUCAGGAGACGCUGGAGAGAGUAUGUCUUCUGGUUGCCUGGGAACAUCUGGAAGAGCUGGAUGAAGUGGCUGGGGAGAGGGACUCCUGGGAUUUCCUAUUUUUACCGUGGUGCUCCUUUGACCCAAAACCAGAAAAGAUGA